rnacentral:misc_RNA from 1 species
GAUGAAGAGCGCAGCGAAAUGCGAUAAGUAAUGUGAAUUGCAGAAUUCAGUGAACCAUCGAAUCUUUGAACGCACAUUGCGCCCGGCAGUAAUCUGCCGGGCAUGCCUGUCCGAGCGUCAUUUCUGCCCUCGAGCGAGUCCAGCAUCUAGGUGCUGGGCCCGCCCGGCGUUGGGGCACUACGGGAAGCCCUGUGCUGUCCCCCGUAGGCCCCGAAAUGAAGUGGCGGUCCUGCCGCGGCGCCCCCUGCGUAGUAUAACAGCUCGCUUCGGGACCCGGUGGAGGCCUGCCGUCAAACCUUACUCUCUAAGUUUGACCUCGGAUCAGGUAGGGUUACCCGCUGAACUUAAGCAUAUCAAUAAGCGGAGGA